UCAACGCUGGCGGCGUGCCUCAGACAUGCAAGUCGAACGAUUAAAGCUCUCUUCGGAGAGUGUAUAGAGUGGCGCACGGGUGAGUAACACGUAAGUAAUCUACCUUUGAGUGGGGAAUAACAUCCAGGAAACCGGAUGCUAAUACCGCAUAAUGCAGCGGCAUCGCAAGAUGACAGUUGUUAAAGAUUUAUCGCUUGAAGAGGAGCUUGCGGCAGGAUUAGCUAGUUGGUAAGGUAAUGGGCUUACCAAGGCUAC
rnacentral:rRNA from 1 species